rnacentral:rRNA from 1 species
GAAGGCAAGCGGAUCUCUUAAAGACUGUUCUCAGUUCGGACUGCAGUCUGCAACUCGACUGCACGAAGCUGGAAUCGCUAGUAAUCGCGGAUCAGCACGCCGCGGUGAAUACGUUCCCGGGCCUUGUACACACCGCCCGUCACACCAUGGAAGUCUGCAAUGCCCGAAGCCGGUGGCCUAACCACUUAUGUGGAAGGAGCCGUCUAAGGCAGGGCAGAUGACUGGGGUGAAGUCGUAACAAGGUAAC